rnacentral:misc_RNA from 1 species
GAUGAAGAACGUAGCGAAAUGCGAUAAGUAGUGUGAAUUGCAGAAUUCAGUGAAUCAUCGAAUCUUUGAACGCACAUUGCGCCCCUUGGUAUUCCAUGGGGCAUGCCUGUUCGAGCGUCAUUUGUACCUUCAAGCUUUGCUUGGUGUUGGGUGUUUGUCUCGCCUUUGCGUGUAGACUCGCCUCAAAACAAUUGGCAGCCGGCGUAUUGAUUUCGGAGCGCAGUACAUCUCGCGCUUUGCACUCACAACGACGACGUCCAAAAGUACAUUUUUACACUCUUGACCUCGGAUCAGGUAGGGAUACCCGCUGAACUUAAGCAUAUCAAUAAGCGGAGGA